AAAUAUGCGAAUCAAGUACAACAAUCAAACAACAUAAUAAUUUUCACAAAGAAAAUUAAAAAAAUAUUUUUAUGUUAUGUAGUCUUAUUUUAUAUUCUUUAAAUAAUGUAAUACAAUAUUAUACAUUAUUAUUUUAGAAUUGAAAAAUACAUAUAAUAUCUUAUCCGCGCGUAGCGCGGUUAAAAACUCUAGUAUAUAUAAAAAAAGCAACCAAUGAAAUAAUGAAUAACGUGUAAUGUAUAAUCAAAUCUUUCAAAUAUUUAUCAAAAAAAAAUCUUUCAAAUAUGAAACAAAAUGUUUCAUGCUUUGUUAUUGGAUAAGUUUCAAAAUGUAAUGACCUUCAUGGAAGGGUCUGCUGUGGCUUGCAAGUGGUUGGGGCAGUGAUAAGAUGGUCAAGACGUUAAAGACCUAACUUCAAUUAGUAUUAAAAAGUCUUCAAAGAAGCAAUAUCAAUUAAUACAAAAAGGUUAGAGAGAAGAGCAGUCCGAGAAGUUGGCUACAGAAAAAAUAGUUUCUCGAUUUCAUCUCCUGAUCCAUCUUUGCGUCUACCGGUACUCUGGUAGUAAUAUGUAAUUAUUCUUCUCUGUUCCUUUGUGAGUUUUAUAUAAUCGCAACAUUGGACUGUUAUAGGAAAGAGAAGUAAAUAAGCCUACAGAUGAAAUGGAAAAAUAUUGCUUAUUUUUCUAUGGCAGAUAUAUAUUCAUAAAUGAUCCAAGUAAUUCCAUU
rnacentral:lncRNA from 1 species